rnacentral:tRNA from 1 species
GGGUGCACUUAGAGUUUUGAUCUCUGUGGGAUAGGUUCGAGUCCUGUUUUUUUAGGAG